AGAGUUUGAUCCUGGCUCAGGACGAACGCUGGCGGCGUGCUUAAUGCAUGCAAGUCGAACGAAGAACCCGCUAUGGGUAACCACUGCGGAAUUCUUAGUGGCGAACGGGUGAGUAACACGUGAGAAACCUGCCCCGGAGACCGGAAUAGCCCAGGGAAACCUGGAUUAAUACCGGAUACCCUCCGACGAUCGCAUGAUCGACGGAGGAAAUGGUCCGCCGCUCCGGGAUGGUCUCGCGGCCUAUCAGUUAGUUGGUGAGGUAAUGGCUCACCAAGACUACGACGGGUAGCUGGUCUGAGAGGACGAUCAGCCACACUGGGACUGAGACACGGCCCAGACUCCUACGGGAGGCAGCAGCAGGGAAUUUUGCACAAUGGGCGCAAGCCUGAUGCAGCGACGCCGCGUGGGGGAUGAAUGCCUUCGGGUUGUAAACCCCUUUCAGGAGGGACGAAGCGAAAGUGACGGUACCUCCAGAAGAAGCCCCGGCCAACUACGUGCCAGCAGCCGCGGUAAUACGUAGGGGGCGAGCGUUGUCCGGAUUUAUUGGGCGUAAAGAGCUCGUAGGCGGCUCAGCAAGUCGGCCGUGAAAGCCUGAGGCUCAACCUCAGGACGCCGGUCGAAACUGCUGUGGCUAGGGUUCGGUAGAGGAGAGUGGAAUUCCCGGUGUAGCGGUGAAAUGCGCAGAUAUCGGGAGGAACACCAGUAGCGAAGGCGGCUCUCUGGGCCGAUACCGACGCUGAGGAGCGAAAGCUAGGGGAGCGAACAGGAUUAGAUACCCUGGUAGUCCUAGCUGUAAACGUUGGGCACUAGGUGUGGCGGACUCAUUUGUCAGCGACUGAGCGAAAGCAUUAAGUAAGCCACCUGGGGAGUACGUUCGCAAGAAUGAAACUCAAAGGAAUUGACGGGGGCCCGCACAAGCGGUGGAACAUGUGGUUUAAUUCGAUCAUACGCGAGGAACCUUACCUGGGCUUAAAUGUAGUAUGACCGUACCCGAAAGGGUAUUUCUCUUCGGAGCAAUUUACAAGGUGCUGCAUGGCUGUCGUCAGCUCGUGCCGUGAGGUGUCGGGUUAAGUCCCAUAACGAGCGCAACCCCUAUUCUUAGUUGCCAUCGGGUCAUGCCGGGGACUCUAAGGAGACUGCCAGCGUAAGCUGUGAGGAAGGUGGGGAUGACGUCAAGUCAGCACGGCCCUUACGUCCAGGGCUACACACGUGUUACAAUGGCCAGUACAAAGGGUAGCUACCGGGUGACCGGAUGCGAAUCUCGAAAAACCGGUCUCAGUUCGGAUCGAAGUCUGCAACUCGACUUCGUGAAGUUGGAUUCGCUAGUAAUCGUAUAUCAGCAACGAUACGGUGAAUACGUUCCCGGGCCUUGUACACACCGCCCGUCAAGCCAUGGAAGCUGGGGGUACCUGAAGUCUGUGACCGCAAGGAGCGGCCUAGGGUAAAACUAGUAACUGGGGCUAAGUCGUAACAAGGUAACC
rnacentral:rRNA from 1 species